rnacentral:snoRNA from 1 species
GCCAAGUGAUGUUCAACAGAUUGCAUUAGCACUUGCAAAGAUGACCAUCUAUCUAUCACCCAUGGCUGAUGGCU